rnacentral:rRNA from 1 species
UACGUAGGGUGCAAGCGUUAAUCGGAAUUACUGGGCGUAAAGCGUGCGCAGGCGGUUCGCUAAGACCGAUGUGAAAUCCCCGGGCUUAACCUGGGAACUGCAUUGGUGACUGGCGGGCUAGAGUAUGGCAGAGGGGGGUAGAAUUCCACGUGUAGCAGUGAAAUGCGUAGAGAUGUGGAGGAAUACCGAUGGCGAAGGCAGCCCCCUGGGCCAAUACUGACGCUCAUGCACGAAAGCGUGGGGAGCAACAGG